rnacentral:rRNA from 1 species
AGUGAACGCUGGCGGUAGGCCUAACACAUGCAAGUCGAACGGCAGCACAGUAAGAGCUUGCUCUUACGGGUGGCGAGUGGCGGACGGGUGAGGCAUACAUCGGAAUCUUCUUUUUCGUGGGGGAUAACGUAGGGAAACUUACGCUACUACCUCAUACGACCUACGGGUGAAAUCAGCGGAUCUUCGGACCUUGCGCGACUGAAUGAGCCGAUGUCGGAUUAGCUAGUUGGAGGGGUAAAGGCCCACCAAGGCGACGAUCCGUAGCUGGUCUGAGGGGAUGAUCAGCAACACGGGAACUGAAACACGGUCAAGACCCCAAGGGAGGGAAGCGGGGGGGAAUAUUGGACAAUGGGCGCAAGCCUAAUCCAGCCAUACGGGGUGGGUGAAGAAGGCCUUCGGGUGGUAAAGCCCUUUUGUUGGGAAAGAAAAGCGGCAAGUUAAUACCCCGCUGUUCUGACGGUACCCAAAGAAUAAGCACCGGCUAACUUCGU